CCUAGUAGAAUUAAAGAAAAGGCUUUAUCCAAAUUUCAAUAUCCCCCGCGACCCUCAAUCCCCAAUUCUUUACUACACGCUUUCCCGCACUGAAUCUCUCUCUAAAUUAGGUCAAAAUAUUCGGCAAUUUCGAAUUAGGGUUCGGCCAUUAGUGCAAAGCUGCCCUAACAAAUGGCCGGGAACAACACUACAGCUAACAGCAACAAUCAAGUUACGGCGGUGCCGACGGUGCCGAAGACCAUAUGGAUGAAGCAAGCGGAGGAAGCCAAGUUGAAGAGCGAAGCCGAGAAGGCCGCCGCCGCCAAAGCCGCAUUCGAAGCCACCUUCAAUAGCAAGUCCCAACCCCAGCUGCCCCAAUCCCCUUCCGCUGCGCCGUCCUCUUCCUCGGACUCCGACGACGACAAUGAAUCUUAUGAGAAAGACUGCUCUGUGGGGCCCGUGGACCCCUCAAAGUGCACGGCGCAGGGCGCGGGGAUUGCUGGCGGCACGGCGUGCGUGGGGGCCACGUUUGCGGUGGUGACGAAGGAUUCCGAGGGGAGGAAGGUGGCGCGCGGCGGGGCUCAGGUAAAGGUUAGGGUUUCGCCGGGUGUCGGAGUUGGGGGAAACGAGCAGGACGGGAUAGUGAAGGAUAUGGGGGAUGGAAGCUAUAGCGUGACUUAUGUGGUGCCUAAGAGAGGGAAUUAUAUGGUCAAUGUGGAGUGCAAUGGGAAGCCGAUUAUGGGAAGUCCGUUUCCCGUUUUCUUCAGCCAAGGGACCCCCAACGGAGGGCUUCUUGGGAUGGCUCCAGCAGCUUCUUAUCCCAAUUUAGUAAACCAGACCAUGCCCAAUAUGCCAAAUUACUCUGGUUCUGUAUCUGGUGCUUUUCCGGGGUUGCUUGGUAUGAUUCCUGGUGUUGUCUCUGGGGCCUCAGGUGGAGUGGUUUUACCUGGAAUGGGAUCUUCCUUGGGAGAAAUGUGUCGAGAAUACCUAAAUGGGCGCUGCGCAAAUACUAGUUGCAAGUUUAAUCACCCUCCCCAUAAUCUGCUCAUGACUGCCUUAGCUGCCACCACUACAAUGGGAACUCUCAGUCAAGUGCCAAUGGCACCUUCUGCUGCUGCGAUGGCAGCUGCUCAGGCAAUUGUUGCUGCCCAAGCUCUUCAAGCCCAUGCUGCAGCUCAAGCCCAGUCCAACAAAGACUCUGGUUCAGAUGACAGUGAGAAGAAGGCCGAUUCUCUUAAGAAAACUGUACAAGUCAGUAAUCUUAGUCCACUUCUGACAGUGGAUCAGUUGAAGCAGCUUUUUGGUUUUUGUGGGACGGUUGUUGAUUGUACCAUAACUGAGUCUAAGCACUUUGCAUAUAUUGAAUACUCAAAAGCAGAAGAAGCUUCUUCUGCUUUGGCAUUGAAUAAUAUGGAUGUUGGGGGCCGUCCAUUAAAUGUUGAAAUGGCCAAAUCGCUUCCGCCAAAGCCUAUUUUGAAUUCGGCAAUGGGUUCAUCAUCUUUGCCUAUGGUUAUGCAGCAAGCUGUUGCCAUGCAACAAAUGCAAUUUCAGCAGGCUCUUCUGAUGCAGCAAACAUUGACAGCACAGCAAGCAGCUAAUCGAGCAGCAACUAUGAAGUCUGCAACAGAAUUAGCUGCAGCUAGGGCUGCAGAAAUAAGUAAGAAGUUGCAAGCUGAUGGUCUGGUCAUUGAGGUUAAAGAACCUGAAAGAAAAUCUAGGUCACCAAAUGCUCGUGUCAAGUCAAAAUCUAGGUCCAGGUCCAGGUCUGCUUCCCCUAUAAAUUAUCGAUCAAGAGGGAAGUCUCGCUCGUUCUCACCUCCCGCGCGUCGCCGACGAGAUUAUCGAUCCAGAUCACCUGUGAGAUCUCGCCAUUACUCAAGUUAUGAGAAGGACCAGAGGUCUUAUAAGGAUGGUAGGGAUGUCAGCGAUAGAAGUAGGAGACGGGAUUGGGGAAGAUCACGUGAUAAUGAUUCGCCUCUUUCACGGAGAAAGAAAAGCAGGAGUGCAAGCCCUCGGACUAGGAAAUCAUAUCGAGAUGAUUUAGGAUCACCAAGACAUCGUCGAGAAAGUCCUACUGAAAGAACAAGAAAAUCAUCACGUCCUGAUUCAAGAUCUCCUCAUCGUCAUAGGAGAAGGUCUUUAUCGUCGGGAGAUGAAAAAGUUAAAUCUAAACCUCGAAAGCGUUCAUUGUCAAGAUCUGAUGAUGUUGUUCAUCACUCUAGCGAUAAGAAAGACAACAAAAGGGAAGAAAAACCCAAGAGUCGGAGUAGGAGACGCUCUAGAUCGGGUUCUGCAGAUGGUCGAAAACAUGUGCGAAGAUCUUCCCCAAGUGUAUUGGAGGAAAGCAGAUCCAAACAUAGAAGACGUUCAAGGUCCAGAUCUCAGGAAGACAAACAUCAGUUGAGUGAGAAAUAUGAAAGGAGCAGAGAGGAUAAAUCGAGGGACCGAGAUAGAAGGCGAUCUAGGUCCAGGUCAACUGAAAAGCGUAGGAGAGGCAGUAAGACAUCUCCGCGACAUUCAAGUGGACAUAAAUCAAAACAUAGGAAGCGCUCUCGUUCGAACUCUACCGAAAAUUUUGUCGAAAACAAGAAUGAGCAAACUGAUGUUCCUGUCAAAAGCGCUGUUAAAGCAUUAGAGGAUGGGAAUGACAGAUCUGUCACACCUGAUGAUAUUCAUAUGAACAGUUUGGCUGAGUAGGGGCAAAUGAAAGAUGAUGGUAUUGGAAGUGACUGGAGCCCUUAAAAAAAGUAACGCCCGAAGAGAUGUAACUAAUGAAGAGGAUGAUUGAACAAAGUCUAGAAAAUAUGUAUCUAUCAUGUUUCUGCUUGCCAGAGCUUCAUAUCUGGGCUUCUGGUUUCAGGUUCAACAUAGUUAGGUGGUCUCUGCCUUCACGUGAUAAAUAUACUUUGUUUCUAUUGCAGGUUUGUGGCCAAAUACAUUUCACUGGUGUCUGGAGUUGCGCUUGAUUUCAUUAGAGCAGUUCAAGAAGUGUUACUGCCCUCAGAUCCAACCAUGACAAUGUUUUUCCCAGAACUGUUUAAUUGAUAUAUGCCAGACCAUAACCUCUCUAUCUGUAGAUGCAGGUUCUCUGGCUGCAAUUUCUUGGUGCUCAAUCAGAUGAAUUUGGCACGAUUUAUGUAUCAGAUUAUAUAUGGAAGGUAUGAUGGAAUAUAAAUUGAAUUAUAAAAGCUUAGCUCUAAUUGGAUUCGACAAUAGAAGUUGAUAUUUUAACUUGAUGCUGUAGAGUGGAUAUGCUAUUGCUCUUUCCUUAUGUUUCUGUUUCUCUUCUUUUUCCCCUCCUUUUCUUUUCCCUUUUUCCUUUUCUUUUCCUCCUGCCCAUUCUUUUCCUAUCUUGAAAUUAUUUGGUUAGGAAAGGGUCUCUUAAAGCUGAUUCCAGAUCAGAUGUUGCUGGUUUGGUUGGUUAGUUCCUUGGUCAAGUCAUUUGUUCUUUUCUUACAGGUAAUUACUUUUGGUUAAACAUUGGUUUUGUUUAAAGUGUCCACAAAUAAUGUCUGGGAACUUCUUGUAUAUUUUAAUUAAAAAAUAGUCGUUGCAUCACCAAAUGAUAACACUGAUUCAAUGCUUUCUGGAUAUUCCACGCCCCAUCUUGAUUUAGUAGUCUAGUAGCAGCAACCAUAUCUCUAACCCAAUUUCCAUGCUAAAUAUAUGACCUCAGAUGUGGCCAGAUGGAUUGCAAUACAUAAAAAUUUACUACAUAAUCAUGACGUGAAAAACUGAUGUUAAAAUCCAAAUUAUGACUGGAAAAAUAUCAUAUUGCUCAGCAUGAAUUUAGUAGGCCAAAAUGGUUCUACAAGAUGACACGUCCCUGUUAGUUUUAACAAUUGGCUAAUACUUUUAAGCUGGUUGCCUCAUUUUCGCGAUAUAUAAACAUGUGCAUUUGUUUGCUUUUAUCCCUUUUUGCCUGAUUAGAAUUGGUUGAUUAGUAGUAAACUAGCCAGCCCGUGUGGAAAUUUUGGUAGAUCCUAACUUCUUGAUGUGCAUAAAAUAUCAUUUGUGAUUCUCGGGGACUAAAGUAUUUGAAACCUACACUGUACUAAUUCACAGAAAUUGAAUGGAUAAAUUGGAGCAUGUAUUCUAAAAGCAUCCAUGAUGCAUCUCACAUGUUGCAUUCUUAUUUUCAUUUUUGUUUUUUGAGUAGGGAAAAGGGGGAAUGGUGGGUAUUGAACCUUUGACUGUACUCUUUACAUAGAGGAGUCUUACUGUUUGGAUGUCCUUGAAGGGACCACUUUUGUUUUGUUGAACUCUUCCAUUGUAAGAUUCUCUUGCUCAAGGUUAGAUAGGUUUUUUUAUUGAUUGAGAAAGAUUAUUAUCUGCUUUGCUUUACUUAUCUAAGAAUUUUUGCCCAUAUAGAGGAUUGAGAGAAUAAGGUGUGGUUUCAGAUUCCAAGAGUUGAUAUUUGCUGCAUUAUCAGUAACAUAUAUUCUUGCAUAUUUUCCAUUCCUCUUUUCUUUCUUUCUUUCUUCUUCUUCUUCUUCUUCUUCUUCUUCUUCUUCUUCUUCUUUCUUCUUUUUAUUUCUUUACUAGGUGAUGCUGGAUGUUUAGUGGAUUGGGAGCUGAAAUGUUACACUUCCAUUUGGGGAAAUGAUGGAUUUCAAUAUUUUUUUUUUGUUUAUUCCUCCUCCCCCUCUUCCCUGCUCUAUUAUUUGCGAAGAUGGUUUUGAACAACAAUGAAUGUUCUUGCUUUUGGUUAAUUUGAGAGCUUUCGAUCACAAUGAUUGAUGCGUGCCUUCUGCUUCGUUAUCGUUCUCUCGUAAGAGCUCGAGUUGAGGGCUUUUGGGUAUAGUUGUAUGAUUUAGUUGUUUCUUAAUGGAAAUGCUCUCUUUAGAAGUUCAUCUUCAAUUUAGCCACCUACCUAGUCCCCACCCCCUACCUAGUCCCCAGCGAAGGAACAAAGUUUUGGGGCGAUAAAGAAUGAACAAAAAUUGAUUUUCGCUGUGUGCAGCUGUGUUGUAUAACUUGUGUGGGUUUUGUUUGGAAAUGGUUGUUGGUAUGUUAAUUUGUUGUUUGCA